UGCAAAUGCUUUUUUUUUUUCCCCCUUCUCAUCUCAAGGCCAGCUCAGACAACAGACAUUUGUUUAGAGAGAAGAGACUGGACUUCUGGUGAAAGAAAAAACAACUACAAAACUUCACUUGGUCAAAGAAAGCAUGGAGAAAAUCAAGUACAGAGCACAAGUCCAUCAGGAAAGCUUACAAGCAGAGCACAAUAAAAGGUGGUGUGGGACAGACCAAAAAAUUACCAGUGUUGCUCAUCAACUCAGAAUUUCCACUGUCAGCCAGAAACUACGGGGAGAAAGGAGCAGCACACACAAGAAACAAGUGUGACUCCACCACUACACUUGCCCAGCACUUACCAGGGUGGAAUAGCUUCCUGCUACUUAUCAAGUGUUUCCACUUCAUCAUAAUAAGAAGUGCCCCAAAACACAGGAGCUAAGGACCACUCAGAGUUCAAUAAACCAUUAAAAUCACUCUAGGUAACUGGCAGGCAGCUAAGCCAGUGCUCAAAUCUGUUAUCCAGCUUUAUUGCAGAGAACAAGGUUACCAGCUCCUCUUCAGACAGAACUACUUCCACCAUCCCCCAAGUGGCUUAGAAAAUAAUCUGUUAUUAUUCUAGUGCAUUUUGUUAUUUGGUUUGGGGGGUUGGUUUCUUCAUAUUUUUUUUUUUAAACCCUAUAUAAUACCUACUUACAUACUGAAAGAAGAAUAUGAACAAAUGCACAAUUUUAUUUCCAUUCACGUAUUUUACAAGCUUUGGACAGAUGUUCCACGAGUUCAACCAGCACUCAUCCCAACAUAACCUCUUUUCAGCUCUUCUUCCCUGCACACACUUGCACAGCACUGCUGGCAGCAGCAGCUUUGGGCUGGGGUGAGGAGGG